rnacentral:sRNA from 1 species
AUUUCUCUGGAAGCUUAUCAUAUAUCAACAGGACACUUCUGUCAGUUGGAAUUUGAGUCACUUUUUUCCUUUCCCCCUCCACGAGAUAACUGGUUUCUAGUUCACCAAAUUAGAUUACAAGGCUUUAUUAUGAUAAAAAUUAAAUAAUGAUUGAAGUAGGCUUAGAGAAAAGUUACGUUAAUAAAUAUAAAUUGCUCUCAGAUUUAAGGGUACCUAAUCAGCUAUUAGGCCAUGUGCAAAUUACAUGUGGGAAAAAGCUAGAACAUUUUUGAAAUGUAUUAAAAGGGAUCUCCUCACUUAAAUACCUUGCUUUUAGCCAGUGAGAUACAGAAUUGCUAUGAUUUCUCAUUGGUAUCACCUUUGUUUUAGUUUUUUACAGGCUGGUGGAUUAUCAUAGAUGCAGCUGUUAUUUAUCCCACCAUGAAGGAUUUCAACCACUCAUACCAUGCCUGUGGUGUUAUAGCAACCAUAGCCUUCCUAAUGAUUAAUGCAGUAUCGAAUGGACAAGUCC